AUUGAACGCUGGCGGCGUGCCUCAGACAUGCAAGUCGAACGCGAAAGUCCCCCUCGGGGGACAAGUAGAGUGGCGCACGGGUGAGUAACACGUAGGUAAUCUACCUUUGGAUGGGGAAUAACAAUCGGAAACGAUUGCUAAUACCGCAUAAUGCAGCGGCACCUAAUGGUGACAGUUGUUAAAGCGGGGGAUCGAAAGACCUCGCGUCUAAAGAGGAGCCUGCGGCGGAUUAGCAGUUGGUAAGGUAAUGGCUUACCAAGGCUACGAUCCGUAACCGGCCUGAGAGGGCGGUCGGUCACACUGACACUGACAUACGGGUCAGACUCCUACGGGAGGCAGCAGUCGGGAAUUUUGGGCAAUGGGCGAAAGCCUGA
rnacentral:rRNA from 1 species